UCGAGAUCCGUUUUGAAAUUA
rnacentral:piRNA from 1 species